rnacentral:rRNA from 1 species
AGAGUUUGAUCCUGGCUCAGAUUGAACGCUGGCGGCAUGCCUUACACAUGCAAGUCGAACGGUAACGGGCCUUCGGGUGCCGACGAGUGGCGAACGGGUGAGUAAUGUAUCGGAACGUACCUUUCAGUGGGGGAUAACGUAGCGAAAGUUACGCUAAUACCGCAUAUUCUGUGAGCAGGAAAGCAGGGGAUCGCAAGACCUUGCGCUGAUUGAGCGGCCGAUAUCAGAUUAGCUAGUUGGUGAGGUAAAGGCUCACCAAGGCGACGAUCUGUAGCGGGUCUGAGAGGAUGAUCCGCCACACUGGAACUGAGACACGGUCCAGACUCCUACGGGAGGCAGCAGUGGGGAAUUUUGGACAAUGGGGGCAACCCUGAUCCAGCCAUGCCGCGUGAGUGAAGAAGGCCUUCGGGUUGUAAAGCUCUUUCGGCCGGGAAAGAAAUCGCAUGGGUUAAUACCCUGUGCGGAUGACGUACCGGCAUAA